rnacentral:rRNA from 1 species
AUUGAACGCUGGCGGCAGGCCUAACACAUGCAAGUCGAACGAGUGGCGGACGGGUGAGUAAUGUCUGGGAAACUGCCUGAUGGAGCGGUAUAAGUACUGGAAACGGUAGCUAAUACCGCAUACCAUCUGAUUUGGCCCGAUGGGAUUAGCUAGUCGGUGGGGUAACGGCUCACCUAGGCUACGAUCCCUAGCUGGUCUGAGAGGAUGACCGGCCACACUGGAACUGAGACACGGUCCAGACUCCUACGGGAGGCAGCAGUGGGGAAUAUUGCACAAUGGGCGAAAGCCUGAUGCAGCCAUGCCGCGUGUAUGAAGAAGGCCUUCGGGUUGUAAAGUACUGUCAGCGGGGAGGCGGUACCCGCAGAAGAAGCACCGGCUAACUCCGUGCCAGCAGCCGCGGUAAUUC